rnacentral:misc_RNA from 1 species
AGAAGUAAAAGAAAAACGAAAAAGCACAUCACCGACGCAACAGCGCUGGCGUCUGCGGCUUCCCUCUCUCUGCUUUUCUCCCCCUUCCGCUCAUCUCGGUGGUCCACUUGCUCAGCCACCACAGCGGACACCCACCUUCCUAUUCAGCCAUCGCCCGUGCCCACGCGGGGUAGGUGGACACGCCGACGCCGACGUCUUUCCCGGACAGACGCACACACGCUUGUUUCGCAGACUGGUGGUGCCACAGCCGCUUCCUUGCACCUCAUCAAACAUCUAUAGAUCACCAUAGACCAAUAUAAGCGUAUGCACAUACCCAUCGAGGAGGAGAACAAGAGGAACUGUGCAGACCUUCUAUACACACACGCACCUACACCCCGCACACUCGACGUGGAGACCGCGACUCACUUUUGCUUGCCGUAGUUCGAGGGAGCCAGGGGGAUGGAGUCAUCAUGAAUCCACCCGACAUUCGUGACGACCCUGCGCUGCCUCAGCCGAUGGCUGAGGUGGCUCCGGUGCUCGAGGUGGACGCUGACGGCGUUCGCGUGCGAGAGGCAGUGCACCUCUUUCUUAGCCGCCUCAUCGACCCCCUCCUCCGUGCAAAUCCAAACCUUGCUGUCGCAGGCACUUCUGGUGGCGAUGACAUCUCUGGUGCGCACUCAUCCCUUGACUACGUAGUCGCGCAGAUGGAGCGCAUCAGCACGUCGACUAGCUGGUCGACGUGCGUGGUUCGAUGGGCAGAUUUCCUCCGCUUCGACGAGGACGCCGCGGCGGUGCUGGAGUCGGAUUUCCAGCGCUUCUCUCCGUUCAUCAACGAGGCUCUUCACCAGGUCCUCCUGCAGUACUACGGCGAGGAGUACGCGAACCGCGGUAAGUGUAACCCCAGUCUCGUUUUUUCGAACGUGCCGCGAUGUCUGACGAUUCGCUCGCUGCGGGCGUCGUUGGUAGGACAGCUGUGCGCUAUCAAGGGUGUCGUGACGCGUACGUCGCAGGUGCGGCCCGAGCUGCUCGUUGGCGUGUUCCGCUGCAGCGACUGCGGAACGGAGAGCCUGCCUAUCGAGCAGCAGUUCCAUUACACCGAGCCGCCCACCUGCCGCAACCCCCAGUGCGAGAACAAGAACAAGUUCCAGCUGAUUCCGAAUCACCCACAAACGCGCUUCGGUGACUGGCAGAAGCUGCGCAUGCAGGAGGAUGCAAACAACAUCCCUGCUGGCUGCAUGCCACGGACGAUGGAAGUGAUUGUCCGAGCCGACGCUGUGGAGGUGGCGAAGCCCGGCGACCGAAUUCUCGCCAUCGGGUGUGCCAUUGUCGUACCGGAGGUGGCGAAGCUGUUCAACUUGGCCAAUCGGCGUGAGGUGCAGCGGCAGCUGACGGGUGGCCAACGGGCCCAGCAGGACGCGCAGGCGGAUAUGGAGGGCACCACGGGGUUGCGCGCGCUCGGCGUGCGAGACCUUAACUACCGCAUGUGCUUUCUUGCCACUACCAUCACGGACGCCACGGGCGACGACCGCAAGAUGACGCAAGCGGUGAAGGAGGCGACGGAUGGGGCGGCGGAGCGGGAGGAGGUGGUGCUCACGCCCGCAGAGCGUCUGCGGGUGCAGCAGAUGCGUCGGCACGACAGCUUGCUGAAAGCGCUCACGUCCUGUGUCGCGCCGAACGUGUUCAAGCACGACGUUGUGAAGCUGGGGCUGCUUCUUCAGAUGGUCGGCGGGGUCUCAAAAACGACUAUCGAGCGCAUUGCGCUGCGGGGCGACAUCAACGUCUGCAUCGUCGGCGACCCGUCUACGGCCAAGUCGCAGUUUCUCAAGUGGGUCUCAGCGAACAUGCCACGAGGUGUCUACACAAGCGGCAAGGCGUCCACAGCCAGCGGUCUGACCGCGACGGUGACGCGGGACGCCGACACGGGCGAGCGCACAAUCGAGGCCGGCGCCCUCAUGCUCAGUGACCGCGGCAUCUGCUGCAUCGACGAGUUUGACAAGAUGGAGAUGAAGGACCAGGUUGCGAUUCACGAAGCUAUGGAGCAGCAGACCAUCUCCAUCGCCAAGGCUGGUAUCAAGGCGACGCUGAACGCGAAAACGUCGCUGCUUGCGGCGCUGAACCCGAUCGGCGGCAAGUACGACCGUCGCCGCCCUCUGCAGAAGAACAUCGCCAUGACAGCGCCCAUCAUGUCGCGCUUCGACCUCAUGUUUGUCAUCGUCGACGACUCCGGCGACGACGCGGACUUCGCCAUUGCAAAUCAACUGCUGCGGCUACACCGCUUUGGCGGUGCGGCUGUGCGGCCGCCCUUCACCACGGAGGACUUCCAGCUGUACCUCCGCUACGCACGCUCGCUAACGCCGCGCCUCACGCGUGAGGCAUCGCAGCUUAUUGUCGCCGCCUAUCGCGACAUGCGGCUGCAGGACUCGCUUUCCAACCGCAGCAAGGUGUACCGCGUGACGACGCGUCUGCUGGAGAGCAUGAUCCGGCUGUCCGAGGCAACGGCGAAGAUUUACAUGAGCGACGAGGUGCGGCCUACCCACGUGGAGGUGGCGCUGGAGCUGAUGCGGCAGUCCCUGUCCACGCUAGACAUGACAGAGGUGGAGCUGGUCGGCGGUGCCGCCAACGACACUCUUCACGAGGAGCAGGACAGCGCCGUCAAGCAAGAGCCAGAGGCGGCGCGCGGCAGCGCGUCCGCCUCGUCAGGGUUGGCAGGACAUGGGACCGAAAAGGGCCGUGCCGCCGAUGACAGCGCUGGCGCAGACGGACAGGCAGGCUUUGCGGACGAGCCGGCCUCAGCGUCCUCGGCCGCGGCGGCCGCUCCCCGGCGAAAGGUAAGCAUCAAGGCAGAUCACUACUUUGCCAUUGUGAAUCGGCUUGUCGCCCACCUGAAGUCCCUCGGGGACGACGCCGCUCCGACGCGACAGGAGUUGGUGACGUGGUACCUUGAGCAGGUCAAGACGCUGAAUAGGCCGUUGCUAGAGGCAGAGCUGCGAUACGUCAAUCUAGUCCUCUCGAAGCUGGUCCGGGAGGGAAAGCUGCUGGAGGUGGACGUGCGUGAGGGUGACCCGCCGCGCUUGUAUUUGGACCCCAACUUCAACCCCGACGUGACGCAGUGAUGCGCGUUCGCAGAGAGGAGGCCAAUGGUGGACGAAAGCCGUCUCUUGAUCUCCCCUCUCUCCCUCUGCCAUCGCCGCUGCUGCUGCGCUCUGUGUCUGCGUGCUUGUGAGGGAAUAGGUGGGCGGAUGUGUGUGCUGACAUAGACAAGGAUGCGUGCUUCGUUGCCGACGCACCAAAGACCGAUACACGAUAAAACACGCUUGCUCUCGGAUGCGCAUGCCUGCGUAGGUUAACCCCGGCCUCCCCCUCCACCUGCACUCCCCCUUCCACGUCUCCUGUGGCAUGAGUGUGGGUGAUGAUGUCAUCCCAUACGCUUCGUCCUUGGCUGCUUUCUUGCACUUCUUACGCACCGACGACUGUAG